rnacentral:tRNA from 1 species
AAAAUUUUAAGUUAAUUAAACUAUAAACCUUCAAAGUUUAAAAUAAAUAUAUUUGUUUAAAUUUUA